rnacentral:lncRNA from 1 species
AUUUUCUAUCAAAAAUUCAACCGAUUUCGAUUCUUUUACACCGUUAAACUAGCAAAUAUUUCAUACAGGCCGUUAAAAAUUGUCAAUUUUGUGACCUUUUGAUCGUAAGGUAAAUGAUGUCGAAAAAUUAUAAAAUUUGAUUUCUAGAUGUUUUGAAUGCUCUAAAUAACGUUUAACGGUUUGGAUCGUUGAUUCGGAAGCUCUAUCAUCGAAAACAACUUAUGAGUACGAGAGCGAUCGUACUCAUAAGAGUAUAGUUGCCGGACUCAUAUAUAGGCUAGAGCGCGCUACUUACUCUUAUGAGUAUAGAGCACUUCAUACUCAUAAGUUGUUUUCAAUUAUGGAGCUUCCGAAUUGACAAUCCACUCCGUUAAAUAUGAUCUAGAGUAUUUGAAACUUCUAGAAAAUAAAUUUUGUAAUUUUUCAAAAUCAUAAGAAAGUUCAUCAAGCGAGUAUAAAAUGAACGGUCAAAAUCGAACGAUGUCUUAAAAAUGGAUGUUCGAAUCCUUCAACUUAAGAUCGGAAUUAUUGAUCUUUAUCUAUGUAGUGAAUAGAAUUUUUUUAUCAAAAAUUCAACUGAUUUCAAUUCUUUUACACCGUUAAACUAGUAAAUAUUUCAUACCGGCCGUUAAAAAUUGUCAAUUUUGUGACCUUUUGAUCGUAAGGUAAAUGAUGUUGAAAAAUUAUAAAAUUUGAUUUCUAGACGUUUUGAAUGCUCUAAAUAACGUUUAACGGUUUGGAUCGUUGAUUCGGAAGCUCUAUCAUCGAAAAUAAUUUAUGAGUACGAGGGCAAUCAUACUCAUAACAGUAUAGUAGCUGGACUAUAUAUAUAUAUAUAUAUAUAUAGCAGGGCUGCUGUGCUCUCAGGAGCACGGAGGCCUCCGUGCUCCUGAGCCGUUUUCGAUGAUGGAAUUUUCGAAUCGACGAUCGGCUCCAUUAGACUUGAUCUAGCGCAUUUGAAGUUUCUAGAAAAUAAUUUUUGUGAUUUUUUUAUAUAAUUUACCUAGUGAUCGAAAGGAUUCAAAAUUCAUAAUUUUUAAUGGUUGAUAUCUGCCGUUUUCAAGUUUAACAGUGUAGAAGUAUUCAAAUCAGAUGAAAUUUUGAUA